UACGUAGGCAGCAAGCGUUGUUCGGAGUUACUGGGCGUAAAGGGUGUGUAGGCGACUAUUUAAGUUUGGUGUGAAAUCUCCCGGCUCAACUGGGAGGGUGCGCCGAAUACUGAGUGGCUAGAGUGCGGGAGAGGAGAGUGGAAUUCCUGGUGUAGCGGUGAAAUGCGUAGAUAUCAGGAGGAACACCGGUGGUGUAGACGGCUCUCUGGACCGUAACUGACGCUGAGACACGAAAGCGUGGGUAGCAAACAGG
rnacentral:rRNA from 1 species